UUGUGAUGAAAUUCAAAGUGAAAUAGCUGGAAUUACCGUCAGAUGCUCAGUGGUGAUAUUCACUUUUCUGAAC